rnacentral:rRNA from 1 species
UCAUCACGACCCCCGCGCGUAUACGGAGGGUGCGAGCGUUCAUCGGAAUUACUGGGCGUAAAGCGUGCGCAGGCGGUUUGUUUAGCGAGAUGUGAAAGCCCCGGGCUCAACCUGGGAACCGCAUUUCGAACUGGCAAACUAGAGUCUUGUAGAGGGGGGUAGAAUUCCAGGGGUAGCGGGGAAAUGCGUAAAGAUCUGGAGGAAUACCGGGGGCGAAGGCGGCCCCCUGGACAAAGACUGACGCUCAGGCACAAAAGCGUGGGGAGCAAACAGGAUUAAAUACCCUGGUAGUCCACGCCGUAAACGAUGUCUACUCGGAGUUUGGUGUCUUGAACACUGGGCUCUCAAGCUAACGCAUUAAGUAAACCGCCGGGGGAGUACGGCCGCAAGGUUAAAACUCAAAUGAAUUGACGGGGGCCCGCACAAGCGGUGGAGCAUGUGGUUUAAUUCAAUGCAACGCGAAGAACCUUACCUACUCUUGACAUCCACAGAAUCUGGUAGAGAUACCUCAGUGCCUUCGGGAACUGUGAGACAGGUGCUGCAUGGCUGUCGUCAGCUCGUGUUGUGAAAUGUUGGGUUAAGUCCCGCAACGAGCGCAACCCCUAUCCUUACUUGCCAGCGGGUCAUGCCGGGAACUUUAGGGAGACUGCCGGUGAUAAACCGGAGGAAGGUGGGGACGACGUCAAGUCAUCAUGGCCCUUACAAGUAGGGCUACACACGUGCUACAAUGGUCAGUACAGAGGGUUGCGAAGCCGCGAGGUGGAGCUAAUCCCAUAAAGCUGGUCGUAGUCCGGAUUGAGAGUCUGCAACUCGACUCCAUGAAAGUCGGGAAUCGCUAGUAAUCGUGGAUCAAGAGUGCCACGGUGAAUACGUUUCCCGGGGCCUUUGUAACGACACCCCGCGCCCGGAUAGUA